rnacentral:rRNA from 1 species
UACGUAGGGUGCAAGCGUUUGUCCGGAAUUAUUGGGCGUAAAGAGCUCGUAGGCGGUCUGUCGCGUCUGCUGUGAAAACUCAGGGCUUAACCCUGAGCUUGCAGUGGGUACGGGCAGACUAGAGUGCGGUAGGGGAGACUGGAAUUCCUGGUGUAGCGGUGAAAUGCGCAGAUAUCAGGAGGAACACCGGUGGCGAAGGCGGGGUCUCU